rnacentral:lncRNA from 1 species
AGUCCGGCGCCGGAUCGCGGUUGCCCAGCGCGCUGUGCCCUGCCGGGGGCGGGCCACGUUUGAUCUCCGGGCCCGCAGCAAGGGAUCGCGAAGGUUGGCCUCCGGUUCUGCCGAUAGGGACGGGGGGAGGGGGCGUACAAAACACCCGCGCAGUCUGGCUAAUGAUAGGCGGGCCGUGGGGAGGGGGAGGGGCGGAGCGCAAAACGCCGGGUUUGAAUCUUGGAAUUAAAAAGAGGGCAGGGGCUGGGCGCGGUGGCUCACUCCUGUAAUCCCAGCACUUUGGGAGGCCGAGGCGGGCGGAUCACAAGGUCAGGAGUUCAAGACCAGCCUGGCCAAUAUGGCGAAAACCCGUAUCUACUAAAAAUACAAAAAACAAAAUUAGCCAGGCGUGGUGGCACGCGCCUGUAGUCCCAGCUACUUGGGAGACUGAGGCAGAAGAAUCGCUUGAACCUGGGAGGCGGAGGUUGCAGUGAGCCGGGAUCGCGCCACUGCACUCCAGCCUGGGCGACAGAGCGAGACUCCGUCUCAAAAAGAAAAAAAAAGAAAAAAAAGAGGGCAGGAAGAGGAAACAACAGUUGCGGAGCUGGACUUGAUGGAAGGGAGCAUUUGCGUGCGGCGCGCAGGGCACUGAGUCACCAUCGUGGCCGCGUCCUCGCGCUCUCCUAGCGAUUUCUCCGGAGAAAGCGGAGCAAGGUCAGCCGGGCAGCCCUUCAAGGACGGCGCGCCGCUCCUGCAUGCUGAUGGCCUGCGGGGCUGCCUGCCCGUGCCCCGGCGCCCAACUCCUACAAGGAAGAAAUUCAGGGGCUCCCCGCCCCCGCCACAGUCCUCUUCCCCCUCCCCAGCUGCAACUCGGCAGCCGUUCGUCAAAGACCCUGUUGUCACCGAGACACUGGGACCUUGUCUCAUCCUUGGAACCACUCGUAAAUCUUAGGUCAGGCAGCCGGCAGCCUUCGGGGACCACAGUCCCCCCAAAGCUUUAGGAAGCCAGUUACUACAUCCGGAAAGAUUCGUGCUUCAGAACGCAAGCCAGGGAGAAUAAUCACAGAAACGCAAUGCGAAUGUCGUGCCUCUCAGAAAUUCUUAGCCUGAAAUACCGUCCCCACCCCCCAACCCGGCCAGGCGACAGUCCUGUCAUCCUAACACCGCAGAGGCUCCAAGCGCUGGGAGUCGUGUGCCCGCGGCGCUCGCCACUGAGGCCGGUUGGAAGAUUCUAGGGUGCCCCUUCCCAGGUUCCAGCAGGCACUCCGGGAUGUUCUAGAGUCAGGCCAGGGAUUCAACAGCGAACCUGACCGAAACUCAAACCUCAGCACAAGAACUUUGAUGGGGGAAGUGCCCAGACUCCAAUACUCUCGACCUUGGCAUUUAGUAGUUUCUUCUUUGAACUGGAAAGAUCAAAUAAUGCACAGUAAAAUCUCAUGAUAAGGGUUCCACCAAGAAUUCGGGAUUUGUGUUAAUUCAUAAGGCAGAAGUGGCCCCUGUGCUAUCCAUGAAGAGUUUCUGUAUUUCUCUGCAAGGUCACAGGUAUUGAUCUAGGCGCUGCUGUGAAGGGAAUUUGCAGAUGUAAUUGGCCUAAAUCAGUUGGCUUUAAUAUCAGGAAAUUGUCCUCAGUGGGCAUGGCCAUAUGGAGCCCUUACAAGGGACUGGGCUCUUCCUGGUGAAAAAGAUUUGAAUCACGAGAGUGGCUGAUAUGAGGGAAAUUCUUUGCUGUUGCCUUCGAAGACAGAAGAGGUCCACAAGGCAAAGGAUGCAGACAGCCUGUAGGAGCUGAGACUGGCUCCUGGCUGACAGCCAGCAAGGAAAUGAGGACCUCAGUCCUCCAAUCAUGAAGCAGACUCCGACUUCUGCUAACAACCUGAAUACACUUCAAAGAGGAUUCUGAGCUCCAGCCGCCUACACAUUGAUUUCAGCUGUUGGGACCCUCAGCCGAGAACCCAGCUAUGCCGUGCCCAGAUGUAAGACCUACACAUCUGUGAGCUUGUAAGUGUGUGUUGCUUUAAGCCACUAAGUUUGUGGUAAUAUGUUUCACUGCAAUAUGAAACUAAUACUUCUGUGUGCAGUUAUAGUUUGUUCAAUCUUAUUGCUAUAUAGUAUGCCAUCAAACGACUGUGGCACAACUUAUCCAUUCUACAGCUGAUGGACAUCUGGGUAGUUGCUGCCAUCAGCCUUCCAGUGCAUGGUUUUUUGGGUGAAAACAUGC